rnacentral:rRNA from 1 species
AACGAACGCUGCCGGCAUGCCUAACACAUGCAAGUCGAACGAAACCUUCGGGUCUCUUGGCGCUCGGGUGGGUAACGCGUGGGAACGUGCCCUUAGGUUCGGAAUAACCCCCCGCGAGGGGUGCUAAUACCGGAUACUGACUUCGGAACAAAAUUUGAUCGCCUUUGGAUGGGCCCGGGUUGGAUUAGCUUGUUGGUAGGGUAAAAGCCUACCAAGGCGACGUACCAUAGCUGGUCAGAGAGAACGAUCAGCCACACUGGUACUGAGACGCGGCCCAGACUCCUGCGGGAGGCAGCAGAGGGUAAUCCUGGACAAUCGCCGAGGGGCUGAUCCAGCAAUGCCGCGUGAGUGAUGAAGUCCUGAGGGUUGUAAAGCUCUUUUACCCGGGAUGAUAAUGACAGUACCGGGAGAAUAAGCACCGGCUAACUCCGUG